GAGCAACAGGCCUUCUAAACUGGUAGUGGGUGAAUUAGUGCCUAUUUACUCACCUCCUCAUUCUCUAUAACUGCCAGUAUAUUAACUUUGUUCAGAGUUCCUAGACCAGGCUAUUUAGGACUUUCUAUUUUACACAGUAAUCUGGCUUUGGUGGGGGAAUAUCUGCAGCUGCCUGAUUUAGGGAAUUCAGUAUCCAAUUUUUCUUUUGCACAAAGCCAGAAUUCAGUCCUGACAUCCACCAGUCCAGCACCCAGCUGAAGGAUGUGUUAUCAUCAUCACACAGCAGACCCAAGUCUUGCCUCAUAAUAUACUGGAAUAAGAUUAUGUAAAGUGGUGCUGUAUAACUUCUCAGCAUUAGUGGAUCAGAGGAUACUUUUUCUCUUGUGACUCAUCCGUCAUUCUGUAUCUUGCCAAGUGGACCCAUUUGUUUCUGGAAAAGACACCAAUAAUGCAUCAUGCAUAUGGAUGCUCAAACAGCUGCUCCCCAGAUUGUCUUAUUUAAUGUGAUGGUCUGCAACAGACUCCCAGCAGAAUCUCAUCUUUUGGUUUAUUGGUUAGGAUACUGAUCCAUGAGUUCCAGGUUUUGUGCUUCUGAAUUAUCAAUAACUCCAAAGCCAGCUUUCGAUAGCCUCUGACACAGUGGAACCACAGCAGCCACAUUGUGUGGAGGCGAGGGCAGGAAGUCAGAAGUCCAUGCAGGGACCUUCAAUACUGAACCUUUCAGCGUUUACAAGUGCUGCUGUGCACACCAGAUCUUUGAGGCCAAUACACAGAUACUUUGGUCCUUCUUCCUGUCUUGCAGAAGUGGAAUAAUGCCCACUUUCUCCUUAAGCGGAGAAUUCUUGACACUCCUCCCAUGGAUUCCUCAGUUUCUCAAACUGGACUCUUGAGGCAACAUUUGGUUCAUAAUUGGGACAGGAAGGAAGACAAAGUAUCCUCACAACAUACUCACCAGUGUGGUACACUCCAAAAAGAUUAACUAUUAAAAAAGAAGGUGGGGUUAGUCUUGUUUUAAACCAACUUGACACUACUGAAGUCUGGGAAUGAAAUUUGCUCUUGGCUUAGAAACUGUACAGUUUGAAGUGAAGAUGUAUACCAAACGUAUAGAACACCAACAAUAGAGUUGAAAAUAUUUUUUCAAAUGUGUGACCAUACCAUUAUAGUUAAACAAAUGAAGUAUCAUCUUUAGUAAUAUAUUAAAAGUAGAAGAGGAUGAAGCUCCUAUUUUAUUUUUUGCAAGUUUUUUAAAUUGAUGCAAAUGGAAACUGUACCUAAUGCUAGCCACUAUUUCCAAACGUCAGUAAAACAGAUGCCUAUUUUAACCACUGGUAAGGUGUUUAAAGUAUGAAGUGAACAAACAAGCUAGAUAAGUUAACUGUUCCUUCAUUUCUUUCCACUUGAAAUGAAUUUUAAGAUCUAUCACUGACCAUUGU